rnacentral:rRNA from 1 species
GAGUUUGAUCGUGGCUCAGGAUGAACGCUAGCUACAGGCUUAACACAUGCAAGUCGAGGGGCAGCAUUUUUAGUUUGCUUGCAAACUAAAGAUGGCGACCGGCGCACGGGUGAGUAACACGUAUCCAACCUGCCGAUAACUCGGGGGAUAGCCUUUCGAAAGAAAGAUUAAUAUCCGAUAGUAUAUUAAAACCGCAUGGUUUUACUAUUAAAGAUUUCGGUUAUCGAUGGGGAUGCGUUCCAUUAGUUUGUUGGCGGGGUAACGGCCCCACCAAGACUACGAUGGAUAGGGGUUCUGAGGAGGACGGUCCCCCAAUUGGAACUGAGACACGGUCCAAACUCC